CCAGCUCCGCGUGGCGCCCGCCGGGCCAUGGGCUGUGGGAACUCCACGGCCAGCGGCGCGGGCAGCCGAGGUACUGCAGGGACAGCUAAGGUGUAACAGAAGAAUCGGUGUCAGAAGAUGACAAAAGGAGGAACUAUGGUGGUGUAUACGUUGGUCUGCCAUCAGAGGCUGCUACCAUGGCUCCCAGUCAGACAAAGACUGAACCUAAAGAUUAGAGUAAAAU